rnacentral:rRNA from 1 species
UACGAAGGGUGCAAGCGUUACUCGGAAUUACUGGGCGUAAAGCGUGCGUAGGUGGUUCGUUAAGUCUGAUGUGAAAGCCCUGGGCUCAACCUGGGAAUGGCAUUGGAAACUGGCGACCUAGAGUGCGGUAGAGGGUAGUGGAAUUCCCGGUGUAGCAGUGAAAUGCGUAGAGAUCGGGAGGAACAUCCGUGGCGAAGGCGACUACCUGGACCAGCACUGACGCUGAGGCGCGAAAGCCAGGGGAGCAAACGGG